GACGAACGCUGGCGGCGUGCUUAACACAUGCAAGUCGAACGGAAAGGCCCUGCUUUUGUGGGGUGCUCGAGUGGCGAACGGGUGAGUAACACGUGAGUAACCUGCCCUUGUCUUUGGGAUAACUUCAGGAAACUGGGGCUAAUACCGGAUAGGAGCUCCUGUUGCAUGGUGGGGGUUGGAAAUUUUCGGCGGUUGGGGAUGGACUCGCGGCUUAUCAGCUUGUUGGUGGGGUAGUGGCUUACCAAGGCUUUGACGGGUAGCCGGCCUGAGAGGGUGACCGGCCACAUUGGGACUGAGAUACGGCCCAGACUCCUACGGGAGGCAGCAGUGGGGAAUAUUGCACAAUGGGCGGAAGCCUGAUGCAGCAACGCCGCGUGCGGGAUGACGGCCUUCGGGUUGUAAACCGCUUUCGCCUGUGACGAAGCGUGAGUGACGGUAAUGGGUAAAGAAGCACCGGCUAACUACGUG
rnacentral:rRNA from 1 species